rnacentral:rRNA from 1 species
GAGUUUGAUCAUGGCUCAGAACGUACGCUGGCGGCACGCCUAACACAUGCAAGUCGAACGAAGUAGCAAUACUUAGUGGCAGACGGGUGAGUAACAUGUAGGUAUCUACCCUUUGGCCUGGAAUAACACGAGGAAACUUGUGCUAAUACCGGAUAAGUCUUUACGGAGAAAGCUUUAUGCACCAUUGGAUGAGCCUGCACUUGAUUAGUUUGUUGGUAGGGUAAUGGCCUACCAAGACUAUGAUCAAUAGCUGAUUUGAGAGGAUGAUCAGCCACAUUGGGACUGAGACACGGCCCAAACUCCUACGGGAGGCAGCAGUGGGGAAUCUUGCACAAUGGAGGAAACUCUGAUGCAGCGAUGCCGCGUGAGUGAAGAAGGCCCUUGGGUUGUAAAGCUCUUUCGUCGGGGAAGAAAAUGACUGUACCCGAAUAAGAAGGUCCGGCUAACUUCGUGUCAGCAGCCGCGGUAAUACGAAGGGACCUAGCGUAGUUCGGAAUUACUGGGCUUAAAGAGUUCGUAGGUGGUUGAAAGAGUUAGUGGUGAAAUCCCAGAGCUUAACUCUGGAACUGCCAUUAAAACUUUUCAGCUAGAGUAUGAUAGAGGAAAGCAGAAUUUCUAGUGUAGAGGUGAAAUUCGUAGAUAUUAGAAAGAAUACCAAUUGCGAAGGCAGCUUUCUGGAUCAUUACUGACACUGAGGAACGAAAGCAUGGGUAGCGAAGAGGAUUAGAUACCCUCGUAGUCCAUGCCGUAAACGAUGUGUGUUAGACGUUGGAAAUUUAUUUUCAGUGUCGCAGGGAAACCGAUAAACACACCGCCUGGGGAGUACGACCGCAAGGUUAAAACUCAAAUGAAUUGACGGGGACCCGCACAAGUAGUGGAGCAUGUGGUUUAAUUCGAAGAUACGCGCAGAACCUUACCAACACUUGACAUGUUCGUCGCGACUCUAAGAGAUUAGAGUUUUCGGUUCGGCCGGACGAAACACAGGUGCUGCAUGGCUGUCGUCAGCUCGUGUCGUGAGAUGUUGGGUUAAGUCCCGCAACGAGCGCAACCCUCACUUUUAGUUGCCAUCAUUAAGUUGGGCACUCUGAAAGAACUGCCAGUGAUAAGCUGGAGGAAGGUGGGGAUGACGUCAAGUCCUCAUGGCCCUUACGUGUUGGGCUACACACGUGCUACAAUGGUAUCUACAACAGGAAGCAAAACUGCGAAGUUAAGCAAAUCCCUAAAAGAUACCUCAGUUCGGAUUGCGCUCUGCAACUCGAGUGCAUGAAGCUGGAAUUACUAGUAAUCGUGGAUCAGCGUGCCACGGUGAAUGCGUUCCCGGGUCUUGUACACACCGCCCGUCACACCAUGGGAGUUGGUUCUACCUUAAGGCAAGGUUUCAAACCCUUGACCACGGUAUAGUCAGCGACUGGGGUGAAGUCGUAACAAGGUAACC